AAGUCGUAACAAGGUUUCCGUAGGUGAACCUGCGGAAGGAUCAUUACCGAGUUAGGGUCGCCUUCCAGGUGCCCGACCUCCCAACCCUGUGUCAAAAUUACCUCAGUUGCUUCGGUGGGCCGGGAGCGACCAACUGGCUUAGUAGGCCAGGCUGGCUUCGCGACCGGUGGCCGGGGAAUACCCCGGCGGCAGAGCGUCCACCGAUGGCAUCUACAAAACUCUUGAAACCCAAACCUGUCGUCUGAAUUUACUUGAUGUUAAUCAAAAAAACAAAACUUUCAACAACGGAUCUCUUGGUUCUG
rnacentral:misc_RNA from 1 species